rnacentral:tRNA from 1 species
GCCUCUAUAGUUAAAUGGAUAGAACAACCGCCUUCUAAGCGGUAAAUGAAGGUUCGAUUCCUUCUGGAGGCA